GAGUUUGAUCCUGGCUCAGAACGAACGCUGGCGGCAUGCCUAACACAUGCAAGUCGAACGAACUCUUCGGAGUUAGUGGCGCACGGGUGCGUAACGCGUGGGAAUCUGCCCUUGGGUACGGAAUAACUCAGAGAAAUUUGUGCUAAUACCGGUAUAAUGACUCCGGUCCAAAGAUUUAUCGCCCAAGGAUGAGCCCGCGUAAGAUUAGCUAGUUGGUGGGGUAAAGGCCUACCAAGGCUACGAUCUUUAGCUGGUCUGAGAGGAUGAUCAGCCACACUGGGACUGAGACACGGCCCAGACUCCCUACGGGAGGCAGCAGUGGGGAAUAUUGGACAAUGGGCGAAAGCCUGAUCCAGCAAUGCCGCGUGAGUGAUGAAGGCCUUAGGGUUGUAAAGCUCUUUUACCCGGGAUGAUAAUGACAGUACCGGGAGAAUAAGCUCCGGCUAACUCCGUGCCAGCCGCCGCCGUAAG
rnacentral:rRNA from 1 species